GCUGGCUCUACAUAUAGCCUUAUUAUUCUUACCGUAUUCUUCACACAAUGGGUAGGUACGAACUCCACUAGUACUACUCCAGGCUUUGGGGCUUGGCGCUCCCUCAACUCUAAUACCCCCAAACACAGGUGCGAGUACACUAGCUGAAGACGGAGCUGGAACUAAAAAUCUCCGACCAUACUGAGAACUACUACCACCUUGAGACCCCGAC
rnacentral:lncRNA from 1 species